AAUUAAAUAGCUGCAGUAUGUUAACUGUACAAAGGUAGCAUAAUCAAUUGUUUUUUAAAUGAAAACUGGAAUGAAUGAGGUGAUGAGAUAAAAACUUUAUUAAAUUUAAUUAYUGAAUUUAAUUUUAAAGUAAAAAAGCUUUAAUUUAUUUAAGGGACGAGAAGACCCUAUAGAAUUUUACAUUUAUUAAAUAAUUUUUAUUUAAAAUAAAUGUUUAUUUGGGAGGAAUAUUAAAUUAAUAAACUUUAAUUAAUUAUAUACAUUUAUUAAUGAMUUUUAUAGAAUUUAAUUUUUUUAAGUUUUAAAUUAAAUUACCUUAGGGAUAACAGUGUAAUAAUAUUUUAUAGUUCUUAUUGAAAAUAUUGUUU
rnacentral:rRNA from 1 species